rnacentral:rRNA from 1 species
AUUGAACGCUGGCGGUAGGCCUAACACAUGCAAGUCGAACGCGAAAGUCCUUCGGGAUGAGUAGAGUGGCGGACGGGUGAGUAACGCGUAGGAAUCUGUCCUGUAGUGGGGGAUAACGUUUCGAAAGGAACGCUAAUACCGCAUACGCCCUACGGGGGAAAGCGGGGGAUCUUCGGACCUCGUGCUAUAGGAGGAGCCUGCGUCGGAUUAGCUAGUUGGUGAGGUAAAGGCUCACCAAGGCGACGAUCCGUAGCUGGUCUGAGAGGAUGAUCAGCCACACCGGAACUGAGACACGGUCCGGACUCCUACGGGAGGCAGCAGUGGGGAAUAUUGCGCAAUGGGCGAAAGCCUGACGCAGCCAUACCGCGUGUGUGAAGAAGGCCUUCGGGUUGUAAAGCACUUUCAGUGGGGAGGAAAAGCUGGUGGCUAAUAUCCAUCGGCCGUGACGCUACCCACAGUAGAAGCACCGGCUAAUUCCGUGCCAGCAGCCGCGGUAA